rnacentral:snoRNA from 1 species
GAUGCCGGUGAUGAGGACUUAUCUUAUGGCGAGGCGCCCCACCCGGGUGCUCUGCGCGACACAAGUACAGUUUGUAUUCCCUGAGGCAUC